rnacentral:lncRNA from 1 species
CCAAUUUUCGGGGAUUAUUCAAUCCACUAUGACAAAUCUAUUAGCAAAACUUGUGCCCAUUAAAAGAAUAGUUUAUAUAACUUUAAUAAUAGUUUUAUACAUACGUAAAAUAGGGCUAACAUUUGUUCAGACAGCUAUCCAAAAACAAAACGAGAGUUUAACGUCGUGCUUUGGAAACUACUUUUUGUUUUUAUAGUGGAGGCAACACGAUAAUAUCAAAUCAGUGCAGAUUGAUAACUAAGAUAUAAUAGACCAGUAUAAUGGAGAUACCGGUAUCGGGAUUCUGCAUCUCAACGAAAAUAAGCAAUUUAAAGAGCGAUAGUAGGCAUAGAAAACUAAUCGCGUGUGUCUUUAUUGGUAGUAGAAGGCAUCUUAUAUCAUAAGGUCCUUUGUAGAAUAGGCCCAGUUGACCAUAUGAGUGUAGCACUAGGACUUGAUUGUUUACCAUUAUGUUACCACAGCAUAUGUUUUCAUGUGAACACUGAAACACAUUGAAAUGGGGACAACCGAUCCUGCUAAAGCAAAAUAUCGACCUGAAGCUAUCAUUGAAUUUUUUCAAAAUAAGCAAUUCAUAACGAUAUCCAAUGAUCUCUUUUUGCGUGUUUCACCUUUCACAUGGAACACAUUGUACGGAAUCACAUGAUGGCAAACGCAUCCGCUAAGGAUUGGUACAAUCUGAUGCUUUCAAAGGUCUAGAUCAAAACAGUAAUCUCGAUAAUGAAUACGUCUGCAAUGGAUAUCCGAUACAUAUAUAUCGGGUUGCUGUGUGUAUAUCCAAUAGAUACAAGUAACGUGUAUACGCGUAUAGAAAGAGGACAUCUAAUAUAUCUAAAAGGCAAUCUUUCAAACACUAAAAGUGCCACACAGAUGAUCGUAUUUCGAGUAUCGCGCAGUGCAGAGUUACUACCGCCAUUCUGUUUAUAUGAUGUUAUUAUGGUAUUUCUAUUUGCUGCCUUAUUUAUGUAUUAUUGAAAAAAUAAUGUACAGCCGUUGCGUUCGCGUAUACGUUUGUGAAAAAGAGUUCGCCGGUUGUGAGGCACGCGGAAAUGGGCAUGUUCACAUAAGCCAUAUUAGGCUAUCGUCGUUAAGCAACCUGUUAGGUGGGGGACGGGGGACGACGACAGCUGUACAUCAAUCAUUGUGUUUUAACUGAAAGAAAAUGUUCUUAGUGUGAAAAAAAGCGUGAUUUAAGAGACAGCGCCGUUCGUUUUGGUGCUAUCAAUUAACUAAACGACAAGACGGCGUUUAGUCGUCUUUAAUAUCUAUAUACUCAUACUAGAGUACAUUUAUACCGAAAUUAACUUAUUAAUUAUAUCGAAAAUGUCUAAUGUCACAUGAAAUGAACUAAAUGUCUAAAAGCAACAUGAAAACUCACAAGUCUAUUAAUGGUUUCGAGCUUAGCGGCUAUUUCUUUCAAACCCGCCUUUUAUUACACUAACAUUGUUGCUAUUUUUUUUAAUACUCACUGGGCAAUUUAAGCAAUAGAGUUUACCUUCAAUAACUUCACCAAGUAGAUGAGUGAUAAAUUGCAUUUUUCAGACUAACUAAUCUGAGAAAAAGUCCUAGGUGCAAAAUUUAUGGUCUUGAUGAAUAAUAAUCAUGACAGUAAAAUAUUUUUUUUUCUUCCAGGGGAGACAUUCUACAUGUCCCACCGCAACUACCGCACAGUUUUGAGUCAUUUAUCCAAAAAUGUUUGGUCCCGUUUAUUACCAUUUCUCUACUAGGAAAAUGAAGGGCGACGAAAAAAACGGGACAACGAAACAUGACUAAUGGAAUGGAACAGUGGAAGCGUUCUAUCGUCGUCUUCGUACGGAUCUGCUCUCUGUGUACUUUGUGUUUUCUAUUCUGUUCAUUUUCUAGAGACGACACGUGGACACUUUUAGCCUACAGGUGAAUCGGACUCGCAAAAAAUUGGCACAAAAUGGAAAAUGUCAUUAGUUAGUGGUCUAGCUUAAGCUUCAUCAUGAAGAAAUUGUGAAACUAGGCAAGAACAUUUCAAAACAGUUCAUGGAGUAUCUCAGCAAAUACUAUGAAACAUAACCCUAUGCAGAAAGUGCUUCGUCUUUUGUGUCGACUUUAUUACGCUGUCUGUUAUUCAUCUUCGUAAUGAAGGAUUUACGCCUGCAAAAGCUGCAGGUACGACCUGCAAAUGUGGUAAGUUCGACUCUAAAAAGAGAGCAGACAUCUUUUUAACGUAGUAGGGUACCAAGGCAAAUCAUUAGACUGAAGAGGACCUUACUUCGUUGCAGAAAUGCGACUUUUGUCUUCGAAUGAACACCUUCCGUACGUAAACCCAUACGUAAGUGAAUGCUAAAACAACGUCAACAUCAGCUCAUUGUUAACCACCUAAAACGUUAUUCGUUUUUUUUUUUCCUUUUUUCCGCUAAGACCUACGGUGUGAGUAGAGAAGUAGCAUGCCCAUAGAGCAUAUAGCUUGUUUAACGUAUGUGCCAUUAUUAAAUAAGCCGGUGUCUUGUAAGAACUGUUAUUUUUCGCUAAGUACAGUUUUUUCAGCACGCUUUAAAGGUCAUGACUCUUAAACCUCAAAAUAAUAGCAAUACUUCGAAACAUGUUUUGUAACUUCAAUUGAUAACCUGUUCACGGAUUCAUUUGUUACGGACGAAUAUGGCGAAGGAAUACUUUUGGAAUACUUAUUUAUUCUUUAAUAAUCAUCUAUGAAUUAGACUAAAAGUUUGUUCGAUGUGUUUUCCCAGGUGUAAGGUUCGAUUUAAUUGAUUUCGCUUUUUACUGUACAUGGCACGGAAAUAAUAGCAUUUUUUUUUUUAAUAUUAAGUAUAACACUUUUGUAUUUUUUAUUUACUCUAUGCUUUAGAAAAUAUAGCAAAACUUUUUUUCAAACUCAUAUCAGCACAGAAAAACUCAAUAUAUUCCCUCUCCACUACUGACGAAACUAAUCGGCCGUAUAAUUAAACCAUGUUGUGGCUUGUCCAAUCUACUGUUAAACCAUAGCUGGGGUUAGAAAACGUUAUCGAAGAUUCAUGUAUUUGACGCGUGAUCGUCGCCGAUACUGAAGUAUACGUGCAAACUCUCCUUUCAGAUGCAAGUUCACCAUUAGAAAAAUGGAGAACAUAAACCUAUAGCAGUAUAUUUAGGGACCGACACGUUCAGGUGUUAGCGGUGUAGUCUGGCCGAUCACUACGUAUCUCCGAGUACGUACCAGGAACAUACGGCCAUUGCUGGCUCAAAUUUUAGCUUUAAUUAAGUGCUUGCCAUGCGAUUUCAUACGAGAGUUGGAAAAAUCCCAAAACUCAUCUAAUGGGCAUAGGUCCUUAACUCCUUUAGGCUGGAGGUGAUUCCGAGGACUUGUUCACGCAGUAAUAAUAGCUGCAUUUGUUAAACAUUGGUAUACAAAAAAAACUUUAAUGUUCAUUUAGUCUUCGAUGCUUUAUCAUACCUAUCGAUAGUCUCACUGCACUCCUGGGACAGCGUUCGUCCUGGGAAAGCGUUCCUCCUGGGAAAUAUCAGAAUGUAGAAUACGUUUCCUUAUCGUUAUGCUGGGAAAAUCAAAUAGGCAACAAACUUCGGGACAGUUUUCCCUUGGAACAUGUUAAGCUGCAAAUGACUACAUUUGCCAUCUUUACAGUAAGACGAUAACAUCUUUUCCUAAUUGAAAACCAAGACCAUAUUAUUCGCUUCGUUGCCUAUUUGCUCGUUGUUACUUGCUGCGCCACUCAAUGAUCUCUAACACCGACGAUGGAAUAGGCGAUCCAAGAUAUUAGGGAAUUAGCACUUUAUUAUACGGUGAUUAGUAUAGUCCGUUAAUAACAGCGUUCUAUAGCGGACAAAUGCUUCGAACAACAGCGUCUUCAAUCGGUGGUGGCGUAGCAUCCUCUGAGCAAUUGCCGGAUAGUAUUUAGAGUUUUUGUAGGUAGCGAGUUUGUGUGUAAAAAAAAAAAUUUCUCCGCUUGAUUCAUGUUACAGAUUCUUCUGUUUUACCAAGUCUUUCUCGAACUUACAUCGUUCCCUAC